GCGGGGGGGCCUGCAGGGAAUGAUGGAAACAUGACAGAACUUGCCCCAGGAGGCAGACCGCCUGAGUGUCAUGCUUGCUUUUUCAGCACACUGUGGAAGUAGCGUGUGUGCGUGCAUGCACAGACAUGUACGUGUGUAUGUGCAUGGGUGAGCACAUGUGUGCGUGUGUGUAUGUGGGAAUUGCUGUGUAAACGUAUGCAUGUGGGUACGAACGUGUGUGGCUGUGUACGUGUGGGCAGGUGUGUGUGUGUGUGUGUGUGUGUGUGUGUGUGUGUGUGUGUGUGUGUGUGUGUGUGUGUGUGUGUGUGUGUGUGUGUGUGUGUGUGUGUGUGUGUGUGUGUGUGUGUGUGUAGGGCAGGCCAGCAAUACCCAGUAAGCAGGUUGGAGUCAGUAUGGGCUGAGUGGUCAGACCGAGGUCCCUUGGAGAGGGGUUUAUGGCAGGUCACUGGGAACUGUCCAUGCUCAGCAGUCACCUCCCCUCACAUUCCCAGAUGUGAAUGUGUAACAGCCCCCGAGACCUAGACACACACUGAGCCUCCCAGACCGCAGCCCACUGGGGCAUCCACACAGCACAGACCCAGGACAGCAUCAGUUGGACCAAAUUGCCCCUCCCCCAGCUGGAGCCGCCUCAGGUCUCGAUCUCCAGGCUCGACCACCUCGGAGGCACAGACUCCUCCCUCACCAGUAUGCGGGCCUCUCACUGUUGUGGCCUCUCCCGUUGCGGAGCACAGGUUCCGAACGUGCAGGCUCAGUGGCCAUGGCUCACGGGCCCAGCCGCUCCGCGGCAUGUGGGAUCCUCCCAGACUGGGGCACGAACCCGUGUCCCCUGCAUUGACAGGCGGACUCUCAACCACUGCGCCACCAGGGAAGCACCUCCAUCUAACAUUUUUUUGGACAACUAUUUACUCAGCAUCAGUCCAUCCCAUGUAAUUGCAUGCCAGGCACUGAGCAAGCCCAGAGGAAUGGUGACCUGCAAAAUGGACCAGCUCCCCAGGGCUGGGGAGAGUUGGGGUGUAUGGGGCAUAGCCACUGAUGGGUAUGGGCUUACUUUGAGGGGAUGAAAAGUCAAUCCUCGUUAUUUGCAGACUCUGUGUUUCCAAAUUCACCCACAUGAUAAAACUUAUUUGUAACCCCCAAAUCGACACCUACUUUCCUGGUCAUUCUCAGACACGCAAACAACGGUGAAAAAAAUUGAGUUGCCAGACGUGCCCAUCCCCAGCUGAGGCUUAACUAGGUGAGGCUUGGCCCCAGAGACUCCGAGAACAUGGAAACAGUAGGGGGCAGUGCAGAGUAAAGCAAGAAACCCAGUGGGAAUUAACUUCACUCUGGAAUUAGAUUAUGGUGAUGGUUACACAAUUCUGUGAAUGUAAUAAAAAAAAAAAACUAGUGAAUUACACCCUUCAAAACUGUACACUUUUUGAUGUGUGAGUGAUGUCUCAAUAAAGAUGUUAUUUAAAAAGUA